rnacentral:rRNA from 1 species
UACGUAGGUGGCAAGCGUUGUCCGGAAUUAUUGGGCGUAAAGCGAGCGCAGGCGGUUAGAUAAGUCUGAAGUUAAAGGCUGUGGCUUAACCAUAGUACGCUUUGGAAACUGUUUAACUUGAGUGCAAGAGGGGAGAGUGGAAUUCCAUGUGUAGCGGUGAAAUGCGUAGAUAUAUGGAGGAACACCGGUGGCGAAAGCGGCUCUCUGGCUUGUAACUGACGCUGAGGCUCGAAAGCGUGGGGAGCAAACAGGAUUAGAUACCCUGGUAGUCCACGCCGCAAACGAUGAGUGCUAGGUGUUAGACCCUUUCCGGGGUUUAGUGCCGUAGCUAACGCAUUAAGUACCCCGCCUGGGGAGUACGGCCGCAAGGCUAAAACUC